rnacentral:lncRNA from 1 species
AUCUGGAGAUAGAAAUUGAACUGAUAAAGUGUCAGACAAAAAUGAGGCUCAGAGAAAGAGAAAGGGCUUUAGGAACCAAUUAGCCCAACUUCUUUCCUUUUGAAAACAGGCCCAGAGAGAUUUGUGUAUCUAAUAAAUUUGGGUAUCUAAUAAAUUAGGUACACAAACAAGUAACAGAGGCAAGAUUUGAACUAAGUUUCUCUGACCCUUUAUCCAAGAGAACAGUUAGAAGAGAGGAUUUCAUGAGGAACCUAAGAUCCCUAAAGUUCUCCAGAACUUUAGCAUUAAUUCUGUGAAAACCAGCUUGUUGAGAGUUUGCUUUACUGGAAAAAGUGGAUGAAGAACAUUGAAGAAGAACUGAUGAAUUCCAGAAUUUCAUAUGAUUCCAUUGGCAAACAUAAACUCCUCACUUCUGAAAGGAAGAGAGGGAAGUGCAUAUUUUAAAAAGAAGUCACCCUUGGGAAAACAUAAUAGAAACAACAAAAAUAAAAAAUGACGCUGACAAGUUCCUAAAGACAUUUCUCAGGCUGAGAUAUGAGUGAGUCCAUUGUUUAAAAAG